UUGACCUCCAAUCAGGG
rnacentral:rRNA from 1 species